AUGUGCUCCUGCGGCUCCCCGCUUCUGGGUUUUCCAGAAACUGCAGAUCACUUUUUCAUUAUUGAGCACGCACAGUGUGUAAAUAUAUUUCGUUUCUCAACACCCCAAUUAAGCCCCUUGGCUCUACCAGGACCUCCAUGUUCUGGCCACCUGCAUGUUCCACCUUUGACCACGUCACAUGGGGGUCCACCCCUCCUCCCUCUAGCUCAGUCUCCUCCAACCCCCCCGACGCCCUCCUGGAAGGGCAGGGCCGUAGCCCCUUCUCUCUUCCCCACACCCCUCCAGCACUCGCCACAUGUUGGGGCUGCAAGGUUUCGCGGGCAGCUUGUCCCCCACAGCCCUGCCCCCUGGGCAGCUGGGUUCCUGAUGGUGUGAGAACACAGGGACUUCACCCGGCUUCUGCCUGCGGCACGUUGGUCUCCUCUUGGCCUCAGUCUCCUCAUCUGUGAAGCGGGGAUGCAUCAAGUCACCGUGUCGCUGGGGUCUGGGGUGAUAAGGCGGGACAGCGCUAUGAGAGGACUACCACCUUGCAAGAGGGGUGUGCACACACGGGUCACCCUCGCUUCCAUUCCGACGUGUCCCUGUGGCCCCUCCAGGCCCAGCUCAGCACGACAGAGGCAGAGGUGCUCUGUAAAUACCACCUGAGGAAUCUGUAAAAUUUGAGGGGGCCAAGGGCGAAAAUGCGCCGUAAGCCCCAAUCCUAGGACCAGGGAGCCCACUUCGGAGCUUGGUGAGAGGAUGUUGGGACAGAGUGAAGGCACUCCCACAUGACAGAAAAUGAUGCAAGUCCAGAAUGAACUGGCCUAAGAGGCUAAGAACAGAAAUUGCUUCCAAAACCGUCUGAAGACUGGAGAUGGUUAUGGGGACCGUGGAGUGACAGCAGAGACGCCCUUCAGCCCACGAGCCCAGGCGGGCGGAGCAUGGAAGUCAGAGGCAGGAAGAGAGGAUGCCACAGCCCUCGCGCCAACCUGCUGCCCAAGAGCAGAGGCCCGGGCCCCGCCCCUGUCACCAGUCCUGGGCGCUGGGACCCUAACCCAGGCAGUCACCCCAGACCCCCCUCCUGGCCCCCAGAGCUGGAGGGGAACAGAAGGGUCCCUUCGAUGCUGGCAGUGCCCAGAGAGACCUCAUCACCCCUUUCUUUGGCCCUAGGUGGGCUCUGGUCCUCAGGCCUCGGCAGAGUCACACUCAGGUUCUUGGCCCAGGAGGAGUGACCUGGAGGGAGGGGGGACCCUAGUCUGGAGGUCCCUGAGAGGUGGGAGAUGAGAAUCUGGCAGGGGGCACCUCCUGGGCUGGGAACAUGCAAACGAGGCAGGGGAAGGAGUCUGGCAUUAAAUGUCAGGAAGAGCCCAGGGCAACUCGGCUUGUGCAAAGUUUGCUUUGGGAAGAGUCGUUCCACCUGACAGGUUACUCUCUUGGCUGGGGGCGCAGGGUGGGGCGUGGAAUGGAGGCGGGUGGGGGUGGGGUCAGGGGAGGGUCCCAUGCCAUUUGGAGCCCAACUCCCUGCUCUCCAGCUUGAGCACUUGGGCAAGAGACUCAACUGUCCCAUCGAUCAAAUGGGCCAUCAAGAGUGUGUCUUACUUCGAAACACUUUCGGGUUUCCAAAUGAGACUGGUUGGGGGAUGGGGGAUACGCUCGGGCUUGGGACGGAAAUGCUAUAAAAUUGGGUUGUGAUGAUCACUGUACAACUACAAAUGUAAUAAAAUUCAUUAAAAAAUAAAAGCA
rnacentral:lncRNA from 1 species